rnacentral:misc_RNA from 1 species
UCACUACUUGCGUAGGAUUGUCCACCGUUGUCUAGCCCAGGUAAGGUUCUUCGCGUUGCGUCGAAUUGAACCACAUGCUCCACCGCUUGUGCGGGCCCCCGUCAAUUCCUUUGAGUUUUAGCCUUGCGGCCGUACUCCCCAGGCGGGGCACUUAAUGCGUUAGCUCCGGCACGGGAGGAGUCGACACCUCCCACACCUAGUGCCCAUCGUUUACGGCGUGGACUAC